GUCGAGAAUUUUGGGCAAUGGACGAAAGUCUGACCCAGCAAUGCCGCGUGCGGGAUGAAGGUCUUCGGAUUGUAAACCGCUGUCGAGGGGGACGAAAAAUGACGGUACCCCUGGAGGAAGCCACGGCUAACUACGUGCCAGCAGCCGCGGUAAUACGUAGGUGGCGAGCGUUGUUCGGAUUUAUUGGGCGUAAAGGGUCCGCAGGGGGUUGAUUAAGUCUGACGUGAAAUCUCUGAGCUCAACUCAGAAAUUGCGUUGGAGACUGGUCGACUAGAGUGUUGGAGAGGUAAUUGGAAAUCCAGGUGUAGCGGUGGAAUGCGUAGAUAUCUGGAAGAACAUCGAAAGCGAAGGCAGAUUACUGGACAACAACUGACCCUCAGGGACGAAAGCAUGGGGAGCAAACAGGAUUAGAAACCCGUGUAGUCC
rnacentral:rRNA from 1 species